UACGAAGGGGGCUAGCGUUGCUCGGAAUCACUGGGCGUAAAGGGUGCGUAGGCGGGUCUUUAAGUCAGGGGUGAAAUCCUGGAGCUCAACUCCAGAACUGCCUUUGAUACUGGGGAUCUCGAGUCCGGAAGAGGUUGGUGGAACUGCGAGUGUAGAGGUGAAAUUCGUAGAUAUUCGCAAGAACACCAGUGGCGAAGGCGGCCAACUGGUCCGGAACUGACGCUGAGGUGCGAAAGCGUGGGGAGCAAACAGG
rnacentral:rRNA from 1 species